UCCUCGAAGAUAUCCCCGUGGAGCACUUUCGGCACUCGGAGAUUCUGCAGCAGAUACCGAGUUGCCGUUGAGGCCGUACCUUGCCUAGUGGUCGGUAGGGACGUCGAUGUUCCUUCCAUACCGGUGUGUGCGGGCGUCGAUGUUGUUGCGGAGAGAGGAUCAAGCUCCGGAGGCAAUCCUCAGAUUCUCCUGCUUGCCCGGUGAACAGGGGUGUCCACUAGUAUAGGGCUGGUACUCCUGCUACCAGGAGGGGUUUGUGGCAUCUGAUGAACCGUACCCCGCACCUCCACCAGUUUUGUCACGAAAAGACAAUGUAAGAUGUGCCUGGCGUCAGCGAGGCAGACAGUUGUACAAGAUGGCAUACAAUAAAGUCAAGCCGGCGUCCUCAGCUUCUACUUCUUCUACUCCAGCGCCCAUCUCUUGCUGAGCGCGCGUUCCAGUCCCAACUUCUUUUUCAGCGCUGGCUCAUGACACCUAGCGGCAAUAUGCGAAUAAUGUUAAGAACGGAAAACAAGGUUUCUUAGCCCUGCAUUGUAGCACAUGCGAAUGCACCCCUCUGUUUGAAAAAGACGUAAUCUUCACGCAUGGAUGAUCGAACGUGCAUCAUCACUGAAUUGGCUAGCAUGGCACGUGAAGAAUGCCUGUGUAUAAGCAAGCCAUCCCUGGCCUUAUCACAAAGGGAGUUAGCAUUCUUAGACAAGGGCAGCGCGAACAGUGAGCAGUGAUGGCAUCUUCAAUAUGUUUUUCUUCUUGUUUUUUUUUCAUCUGUAUUGUUUGUUUUUUAUGUAUAAAUCUUUGAUGUCGUUUUCCCUUUGUUUCUUUAUAUAUAACACCUUGCACAAGACAAUAAAAUUUCAGUUGGCAGUAAGCGCUUGUACUCAUUUUUCUUGCGUCCCUUGUACCUGCUUCCCGCUGUGCCACACAAUCUAAAAUGUCCACUACCAGCUGUUUAAUAGUGGUCCCAGAUACAAAACCAAGAAUCCUUUCACGCACACACAGUACGGAGAAUGCGUGACAUAGAAACAAAUAGUCACAAAAGCUUCCUUUUGAAAAAGCACACCUCAUCAGAAAGCAGUGUGAUAGAUGUGACACUAAUGCAAGCAGAUUUUCUUUCCGAUUUGAAAAGUGUCCAAUAAUUCCUUCACAGUCUGGCCCCUGCACUUGCCUAAAAUGUGGGCAAGUCCUAGAUUGGACAAAUGGGGUGCUUUAUUAAUGCCUGGCAAGGGGAGUAUGCUAACAUCGGUAAAUGCCAACAAUGCACAUCUUCUUGCACACCGCAAAAACUGCCUAUGCAUAUCUGACUGAGAGGCUUAAGACAGCAGGCAGGAGUAGGCACCAAACUGCCGAGGGAAGUUCUUGCACAACAUAAUUAACUCUUCUUGCCACUUAUCAAGGACAACAUAUUUAACUUUCACUGAAGUAUUCACUACAUAUAGUGCUUGUAAACCUAAUAUUAUUACCUGUUACCAAAGCUGAGACCCCUACAGAUAUACAAUUUUUUCAUCGCGCGACACACUGUUGGUAUACCAUAGCCAGGAACAUUCGCUCACUUCCUUUACAUGAAUAUUUAGCUGCAUUUGUUAGCAAUGAUUCUUGAAUUUUGCUUCACAUUUGCCAUAGUAGCAGCUGUUCGCUGAUGCUUGGAUGUUCUUGACUUUGACGUAACAGUUCCAUGAAAACCCGCAAGGUGGAGAGAAGGGAAAAUCAGACAUCCACACGUUCGUAGCAAUUUCUACAAUGGAAACCCAUACGGGUUCCUCGAAAGAAAAGCCUCACAGUUGAAGAAAAAUUCGUCCUGGUCCAGGACUCGAACCUGGGACCACCGCCUUUCCGGGGCAGCCGCUCUACCAUCUGAGCUAACCAGGCGGCUAGCAGAUGGCAGGGCGAAGUCGAAUUUGUCGACAACACGAAGCAAAGGCGCAGUAAUCCCCAUCACAUACACUGGUACCAUGGACUGACCUCGGCAGCUGACACCGCGGAUGAGCGUAGCCUUCCCCACCUCAUGGACUUGUAGUAGCGAGAAAUGAUGUGCCACGGAAGUUCACGAAGUGACAAAUAGGUGUCAAAAAUUGAAGUCAAAAGAAAACAGAUAAGUGCAUUUCAGUCAACUAGUGCGGGUUUCUGUUUGUACUCCUGUAGAUCACGAGCAUGUAUCCGCAACUGCGAAAUUGCAUCUAUUGCAAGUUUGGCGGCAAACGGGAUGUCAGUAGGUUUCCUACGCGAAGUGUACAAACAAUGUCUAACUGAUUGCAAGCAGAAGCUUACGCUGUAGCUUAAAGGAGGCAUCGUAUAAACACUUUCCAACAAUAUAGCAAGGCUGCUUCCAAGGUCCCCUACUUUAUGUGCGGCUCAGAACUAUUGCUUCGCGGCCCAUCUCGCCACUGAGAAUUUGCCUUUGAGCGAAAGUCUCUGUCAAAGCACCCUCCCCACAUCCGACGUCUCAGCCUUGCGUGGCGCAUCAGUACCAAUUCCAUCUCGUCUGGAAAGACUUCUCCGAUGCAUGAGACAGGCAGCCGAGACCGUGAACUGCUUGGUGUACCUCCCUCCAGACGCGACUAGUGAAAUCGCGCUUUUUUAGAAAGCCAGUGUUUGGUUUUUACAAACCCUGCAAGACACCCGACGCAGCCUAGUCACACACACGGCA